UGGUCAAGUUAUUAAGGGUGCAGGGCGGAUGCCUUGGCACUAGGAGCCGAUGAAGGACGUGAUAAGCUGCGAUAAGCUUCGGGGAGUUGCACGUAAACUUUGAUCCGAAGAUUUCCGAAUGAGGAAACUCACUUAGAGUAAUGUCUAAGUAUCAUUAAGUGAAUACAUAGCUUAAUGAGGGGAACUCAGGGAACUGAAACAUCUAAGUACCUGAAGGAAGAGAAAGAAAUUCGAUUCCGUAAGUAGCGGCGAGCGAACGCGGAUUAGCCCAAACCAAUAAAGUUUUCUUUAUUGGGGUUGCGGACAUAUCAUAACGAAGAGGUAUCGUAAUUGAAGAGGUUUGGAAAGACCCACCACAGAAGGUAAUAGUCCUGUAUGUUAAACGAGAAGACUUUAGAUAUGAUCCAGAGUACCACGGGACACGUGAAACCCUGUGGGAAGCAGGAGGGACCACCCUCCAAGGCUAAAUACUACCUAGUGACCGAUAGCGUAUAGUACCGUGAGGGAAAGGUGAAAAGAACCCCGGGAGGGGAGUGAAAUAGAACCUGAAACCCUGCACUUACAAGCUGUGGAAGCACAUUUCUUGUGUGACCGCGUACUUUUUGUAGAACGGGCCAACGAGUUACGUUAAGUAGCAAGGUUAAGCACUUAAGGUG
rnacentral:rRNA from 1 species